UGGGAAAUGACUGAGCAGUGUGAGCCGGUUCUGAGUCUGGACCAGGCCAGAGCAAGCUGGUGGCAUUUAGUCAGAAGCACUGUCACGCAGUAAGUCUGGGCCCUUCUCCAGCCUCUCCUGGCUCUGAACAUGGGGCACUCAUCCUGCCCUGGGCUGGCCUUCAGCUUAACCUAACAUGAUGUCCAUACUCACCCUAGCUCCACAGAGAACAAGCUCAAGCCACCUGUGACUGUCAUUCUCCAAAGUUCAGUAUCACAAUAUCCACCCCAGAACUGUGAAGCACUGCAAUCCCUGGAGCUUCUUGAGAAAACGGGGCUCACAUGCAGCUCCUGAGUGACAAGUCCAAGAAAGCUCUCAGGGGUCAGCCAGGCGAACCAGCAGGGAAAAUGUGACCAAUGCUCCUAACCCCGACGGAGAAGACACGAAGUGCAACACCCUCAAGGAGGCCACCUUCUGCCAAGAAGUCGAGGCACAGCUCGAGGACAGUAAGUGCUCCCUGCGCACAGAAGUGAGCACCUGCCAAGGAGACUUCGUGUGGGACUCCCUCUGAUUUCUGCACACAAGUAAGAUAGCCCUCAGCUUCACCCACAGUGUGAUGAGACUGACCAGGGCAGCAUGGUGAGGACCACUGCACUCUAGAGAGUCUCAACACUGGGCUGACACACUGAAGGUAAGGCUUCUAUUGUUCUGCAAAACUGCUUGUUGCUUUUUGAGAAGGAAAGUAGAGGAUUUACUUGUUACAGAAUUGGCAGAAAUUACUAACUCUGAGCCUGCUGCUAUAGAAAUUCAAAUACCCCAGAGACUGAAAGUUACAGCAGAGACAAAGCUUUCUUCUCAUGAACUCCCAGGCAAGGAGAUGGUCAGUAGGUCCACUGUACUGUUACUUCCCAAACUUUUCAGAUACAGUACUGUGCAUACUAGGUCAGCUGGCUCCACACUGAGUUUUCAAGCAAUAGCUGAGUUUGUUAACCAUAAUUGCAUGCCCAUAAAGGUAAGCAUUACAUGACACAAUUCACUGUCGCUUCUCUCUGAAGAGGUUUAAUUUUAGUGUUGGCUCUCCAACACUGUCCCCAUUUUUUUUCUUCCAUGAGCAUCUUAAAUAUGUGUCAAUUACUCAGCGGUGGAGGUCAUACCCCAGCAAGGCAGCCCUUCAUUCACCUGAGCCUGGAGCCAUCCCAGAGAGACAGUAGAUGCAGACAUCCCAUCCCCUAUACCUCCUCCACCAGCAACCACUGACAGCCUAAGGUGCCAGGCUCUCUGAGGUUGUGGUGUUUGCUCAAAGCCACAUUCCUGUGAAAUGUGCUAACAAUGUUCAUGGAGGGUCACCAAUAAGGGCAGCCCUUAAAGGAAGCACCUUCCUCAUCGCUCACAGGAAAAAGAAACAACUUCCCAGCUCCAUCCAUCAUGCCUAGGUUGGCAGGGCUCAAUCCAAACCCAUGACUAGAGUCCCCCACAAAUAAGCCACAGGACACAUAUGCUCCAUGCCAUCACCACCACCGUGGGCCUACGUGAAUAUCACGUUUUUGCACAUCCUAAGGCACAGGAAACUAAGGUCUGUUCCCUGAUACUCUUCGUUUCCCACUCCAAGAAACUUUAAUCGGAGCUUUACGAAUACUGAAAUCCUGUGGCACUGCCCCAUGUAAUCUACAACACCAGGACCACCUGACAAAGUGACUCUUGAUCCCAAAGCUCUCCUCAGCGGCACUAGGGACCUGUGCAACCUCUCACAUUCUGGCCAAAGGAAGUGACUGCAUGAAAGUCAAGAAAUGACACUCUGGCUCUGAGAAAGAUGCCGAAGUCACCAAGGCUACUUUUUCACAUCGCUUGUUGUAUCCUUCAAUGUUUUAGCCCUGGAACUGCACCUGUACCAGCUAAUGCAGAAAAGACCUUCUAGAAGGUUUUACAUUGCCUGUAACUUCUCCACCCCCAAGUCAUAACAGAAACGUCAAUAGUAUUUCUUGAAGACAAUUACCAUCAGGUCAAUCUUAUGGACCUGAAGACCAGGAAAGAGUUAUGACCCAGGAACCAGAGCCUCAGGUAUAUGGCGGCCCCUCAAUUUCUACCAAGACUGUGCCAUCAAAGUGAUUAAAAAAAAAAAAAAAAAAAAAAAAACAAAGUAAAGCGCCCUGCUAAGA